rnacentral:rRNA from 1 species
UGGGCAACCUGCCCCAGACUCAGGGAUAACCCCGGGAAACCGGGGCUAAUACCCGAUACUCCGAUCGAACCACAUGGCUCGAUCGGGAAAGCUCCGACGGUCUGGGAUGGGCCCGCGGCCUAUCAGCUUGUUGGUGGGGUAACGGCCUACCAAGGCGACGACGGGUAGCUGGUCUGAGAGGACGACCAGCCACACUGGAACUGAGACCUAGGUCCAGACUCCUACGGGAG